UACGAAGGGGGGCUAGCGUUGUUCGGAAUUACUGGGCGUAAAGCGCGCGCAGGCGGUUCUUCAAGUCAGAGGUGAAAGCCCAGAGCUCAACUCUGGAAUGGCCUUUGAGACUAGAGAACUAGGGUACGGGAGAGGUGGGUGGAAUUCCGAGUGUAGAGGUGAAAUUCGUAGAUAUUCGGAAGAACACCAGUGGCGAAGGCGGCUCACUGGCCCGUUACCGACGCUCAGGCGCGACAGCGUGGGGAGCAAACAGG
rnacentral:rRNA from 1 species